rnacentral:rRNA from 1 species
GGCCGCAGUAUUUUAACUGUGCAAAGGUAGCAUAAUCAUUUGUCUUUUAAUUAAAGGCUAGUAUGAAUGGUUGGACGAAAUAUAAACUGUUUCAUAAAAAUUUUUAAUAAAAUUUUAUUUUUUAGUUAAAAAGCUAAAAUUUAAUUAAAAGACGAGAAGACCCUAUAAAUCUUUAUAUUUAAUUUAAUAUAAAUUUUUAGAAUUUUUUUUUUAUUAUAAUUAAUAAUAUUUUAUUGGGGUGAUAUUAAAAUUUAAUUAACUUUUAAUUUAUUUUUACAUUAAUUUAUGAAUAAUUGAUCCGUUAUUAACGAUUAAUAAUUUAAGUUACUUUAGGGAUAACAGCGUAAUUUUUUUGGAAAGUUCUUAUUGAUAAAAAAUAUUGCGACCUCGAUGUUGGAUU